rnacentral:snRNA from 1 species
GGAUGUGAGGGCGAUCUGGCUGCGACAUCUGUCACCCCAUUGAUUGCCAGGGUUGAUUCGGCUGAUCUGGCUGGCUAGGCAGGUGUCCCCUUCCUCCCUCACCGCUCCAUAUGCGUCCCUCCUGAAGCUGCACUCUCAGUCGAAGAGGACGGCCUUCCCUGAACAGAGAUGGACCGGUCUCGGUCGGGGGUGUAUAUAUAUAUGUAGCUGCACUCCCCUGGUAGAACCUCCAAACAAGCUCUCAAGACCAUAGCCUUAACAAGGAAUGAACAAUACUAAUUGCUUCUUUUGCUCAGUCUAGUUUUGUCCUG